CCAUGCAUGUGUAGGUAUAACCUGUAUACCGGUAAACUGCGAAUGGCUCGGUAAAUNAGUUAUAGUUUAUUUGAUAGUGCAUCCUACUCGGAUAACNGUAGUAACACUAGAGCUAAUACGUGCGUAAAUCCCGACUUUUGGAAGGGACGUAUUUAUUAGAUUUAUGGCCAGCCGGGCUUGCCCGACCAGCGGUGAAUCAUGGUAACUUGACGGAUUGCAUGGCCUCCGUGCCGGCGACGUGUCAUUCAAGUUUCUGCCCCAUCAGGUUUCGACUGUAGUGUAUUGGACUACAGUGCCUAUAACGGGUAGCGGAGGAUUAGGGUUCGAUUCCGGAGAGGGAGCCUGAGAAACGGCUACCACAUCCAAGGAAGGCAGCAGGCGCGCAAAUUACCCAAUCCCAACUCAGGGAGGUAGUGACAAGAAAUAGCAAUGCGGGGCUUCUUGCUCUGCAAUUGGAAUGAGAACAAUUUAAAUCACUUAACGAGUAUCAAUUGGAGGGCAAGUCUGGUGCCAGCAGCCGCGGUAAUUCCAGCUCCAAUAGCGUAUAUGUAAGUUGUUGCGAUUAAAAAGCCCGUAGCUGAACCUCGGGCAACCCUGACGGUCCGCGUUUCGUGAGUACUGUCGUGGGUUGUCUUUCUGGCAAGACCGUAUCUCGGCGUUAACUCGCCGGGAACGGCGCUUGCCAAGGUUACUUUGA
rnacentral:rRNA from 1 species